GAUGAACGCUGGCGGCGUGCCUAAUACAUGCAAGUCGAGCGAACGUACGAGAAGCUUUCUUCUCUGAUGUUAGCGGCGGACGGGUGAGUAACACGUGGAUAACCUACCUAUAAGACUGGGAUAACUUCGGGAAACCUGAGCUAAUACCGGAUGAUAUUUUGAACCGCAUGGUUCAAAAGUGUAAGACGGUCUUUCUGUCACUUAUAGAUGGAUCCGCGCUGCAUUAGCUAGUUGGUAAGGUAACGGCUUACCAAGGCAACGAUGCAUAGCCGACCUGAGAGGGUGAUCGGCCACACUGGAACUGAGAAACGGUCCAGACUCCUACGGGAGGCAGCAGUAGGGAAUCUUCCGCAAUGGGCGAAAGCCUGACGGAGCAACGCCGCGUGAGUGAUGAAGGUCUUCGGAUCGUAAAACUCUGUUAUUAGGGAAGAACAUAUGUGUAAGUAACUGUGCACAUCUUGACGGUACCUAAUCAGAAAGCCACGGCUAACUACGUG
rnacentral:rRNA from 1 species